rnacentral:rRNA from 1 species
GACAGAGGUGCCGAGCGUUAGGCGGAAUCACUGGGCUUAAAGCGUGUGUAGGCGGAUUUGUAAGUACCUUGUGAAAUCCCACGGCUCAACCGUGGAACUGCUUGGUAUACUGCUUAUCUUGGGCCACUUAGGGGUUACCGGAACAAACGGUGGAGCGGUGAAAUGCGUAGAUAUCAGGAAGAACACCCGUGGCGAAGGCGGCUCUCUGGUACGUGACUGACGCUGAGACGCGAAAGCGUGGGGAGCGAACAGG